rnacentral:misc_RNA from 1 species
GAUGAGAACGCAGCGAAAUGCGAUAAGUAAUGUGAAUUGCAGAAUUCAGUGAAUCAUCGAAUCUUUGAACGCACCUUGCACUCCUUGGUAUUCCGAGGAGUACGCCUGUUCGAGUGUUAUGAAGCUCUCAAAACGCAAUUGGCUUAAAACCUGAUUGUUGUUUUGGAUUUGAACUUUGCCGUGUUAUAACGGCUGGUUUUAAAAGUAUUAGCUGGUACUAGAACGAAUUGGUUCUACUCAACGUGAUAAUUAUCUGAUCGUUGAGGACAUUCCUUUCACGAGGAAUGGCCAUAGUAAAUUCAAUGGACUGCUUCUAAUCUGGCUUUAAUUCUUUAUUGGAUUAACCACUUUUCAAAUCUGACCUCGAAUCAGGUGGGACUACCCGCUGAACUUAAGCAUAUCAAUAGCGGAGGA